UACGGAGGGUGCGAGCGUUGUCCGGAAUCAUUGGGCGUAGAGGGCGCGUAGGUGGCCUGCUAAGCGUGCGGUGAAAGUCGGGGGCUCAACCCCCGAUCGGCCGUGCGAACUGGGAGGCUUGAGCACUGUAGAGGCAGGCGGAAUUCCGGGUGUAGCGGUGGAAUGCGUAGAGAUCCGGAAGAACACCGGUGGCGAAGGCGGCCUGCUGGGCAGUUUUGCUGACACUGAGGCGCGACAGCGUGGGGAGCAAACAGGG
rnacentral:rRNA from 1 species